CGAGGCGCGAGGGGCAGGGCGGAGCGGCGGCCGGGGGUCGGGGAGGCGGAGGAGCAGCCAGAGCUGGCUCUAAGUGACUCCAGCCCGGCGCCUGGCAUCUUUUGAGUUUUUCUUUUUGGGAAAUCGCGUGGUCUUAAACCGCGAGGCAUGGGGAGAGGGAAAAGGAUUUGCAAAACUGCGGAAAACUCGGUGAACUUGCGCUCCUGUGUAUCCCAAAUUAGCAUUCAGCCGGGCCCUGCGCGCCUGGAUCGCUGAAGCUGCGCAGAGAGAAAGAGCGGCUUGCAGGACCCUUGGGCUGCAAGAAGGCAGAGCUGCCUCGGUCCGGUUGCUUUGCGCUUCGAGCUUCCUACUCUGCUAAGCGCACUGGCAACAGCAGCAACAACCAAAAGUUGCCGGCACACCAAAAGCAAAAUUAAACAUAAUUGCUUUUAUGUAUCUAUUGCUUUUAUAUCAUUAAAAUAUUUUUAGUUACAUUGUGUAAAA
rnacentral:lncRNA from 10 species